CCCUUAGAUGUUCUGGGCCGCACGCGCGCUACACUGACGAUGGCAACGUGUUUUUCCUUCGCCGAAAGGUGUGGGUAAUCUUUUGAAACAUCGUCGUGCUGGGGAUAGAUCAUUGCAAUUUUUGAUCUUGAACGAGGAAUUCCUAGUAAGCGCGAGUCAUCAGCUCGCGUUGAUUACGUCCCUGCCCUUUGUACACACCGCCCGUCGCUACUACCGAUUGAAUGGUUUAGUGAGGACUCCUGAUUGGCGCCGCCGCCCCGGCAACGGAGCAGCGGACUGCCGAAAAGUUGUUCAAACUUGAUCAUUUAGAGGAAGUAAAAGUCGUAACA
rnacentral:rRNA from 1 species